rnacentral:lncRNA from 1 species
AAACCCAUUGGUGUCUUCUAAAACCUACUUCACACUUAUGAUUUCAAACCUGUAAAAGCUCCACUUUCCAGACAAAAACUUUUUAUAUUCAGUUAAGAGUAGCGUUCUCAUCACAUAUAUACAUCAUUGAGGGUAAAUGACUAUCACAUAUAUACAUCAUUGAGGGUAAAUGACGCUAGUUAUAAAACAAGGUAGUUUAAUGGGGGACAUAGAAUUGUUUAAGGGUUACAGCCUUUGAUGUAGAGGAGGCAGGACAUCACACUAUAUGAAAAGAGAUGCUGGAUCCAUUGAUGUCCACAGCCUCUACUUGUUCUUCCUUUCUCAAUGUCCUCAACUCAUGAAUUUGGUUUCCAUACUUCUUGGGGGUUCCUCCUUCCCAGAAGCACGACUGUGCUAUGUUUCAUCUAACUCCUCAUCAUCUUUUUCCGGAGGAUAGAUAAUGAAGAAGAAGGUAUUGAUCAUCAUUUUCGUGCUCCUGAGGUUUCUGACUUCAUAAUUUUGUGUUCUUCCACCCAUCUUUCAUGUAAACAGUUUAUGGAUCAGUUGCUCUAUUCUUGACAUUUGCUCCCUUUUUCUGAUUGACUUUAUUGCAGAAACAACGAGUUAGAGGGAUUCUCUCCUUUCAAACUUUUUUGCAAAUAUGAAACUGCAAAACAUAGUGCAUGAAGGUGGAACAAAGGUAAGGGUUCAAGGUGGGUAUUAGCUAAAUAUGAGUUAGCCAUUCCGGAUCAACAAGUGGUAAGAAAAAAAGAAGUACUGAAUAAUAGGUUUCCCUGAUCUAAUUUCUAUAACAAAAAAAAAAAAUCAAUCAAAAUUAGGUCCCAAUAAAAUGGAGUUUAAAUCUUUCUAAUGUAACCUAGACAUGCAAAAAUUAUUUGGAGAAGAAGAGAUCCAAAAUCAGUGUUCCAGUUUGUUUAUGUGCUUGCCAUUCAUUGAUGAUGGUCAAUGAAUUAGAUAUCUUAAAGCACAAGAGUGGUUAAGAUCAUCAAAAAAUAAUUUCCUAAUAAGCAACAAAUUUUGACUCGGUAAAACUGAUUAAGUGAAAAAAUCAAAAUGACUCAAAGAAUUAAAUGAAAAAGAACCACGAUUAAUAGCACAAAUUUACUUGGUUUACGAAAUGACGAGAAAUCAUUUUGUUUAUCAAACACUCAACAAUAGUUUGCGAUUAGCUGUUUUGACUCAACCAUUGGCUAUUCGGAUUAAAACCAAGGAUUUCCUAACAUGAAUCCAUGAACCACUUGAUUCCAACUCUCAGACGAUUCAGUCAACAACGAGAAUUGAAGAGUGGGCUUUAGAUAGAGAGAGAGGGAAUCAGCGAGGACAGUGAGGAGAGAGAGUGAGGAUGGGAAAAGAGAGGGAAAUGACGAGGAUAAGGGGACAGAAGAGAGAUGGAAUUGGCAAGGAUAAUGGGAGGAAGAGAGAGAGAAGGAAGUGGAGGAAGAAGGGUGAAGAAGAAAGAGUAAAAGGGAAGGAAGAGAAAGAAAGAAGUAACGAGGAGAAGAAGAGGGGGAGAUGAGAGAGAGAAGGGAG